rnacentral:rRNA from 2 species
UACGAAGGGGGCUAGCGUUGUUCGGAAUUACUGGGCGUAAAGCGAACGUAGGCGGUGUUCCAUGUCAGAGGUGAAAGCCUGGGGCUCAACUCCAGAAUUGCCUUUGAAACGGGAACGCUUGAGUCCGAGAGAGGAUGGCGGAAUUCCUAGUGUAGAGGUGAAAUUCGUAGAUAUUAGGAAGAACACCGGUGGCGAAGGCGGCCAUCUGGCUCGGUACUGACGCUCAGGUUCGAAAGCGUGGGGAGCAAACAGG